rnacentral:tRNA from 1 species
GGAGUGGUAGUUCAGUUGGUUAGAAUACCGGCCUGUCACGCCGGGGGUCGCGGGUUCGAGUCCCGUUCCACUCCGCCA